UCAGCUCCUGCACUCUAAGGCCAAGGGUCUCAGUGCCAGGAGUCCCACCCGACCUGCCUUGACCCCGACCCUGUCCCCCCACUCCGGCUCACCGGGCCCACAUCCGCCCCAGGACCUUGGCGUUCUGGAUGCUCCCCCUGCCUGGCUCCCUGCAGCGUCCACCAGGCCACGGUCCCCCAUGGUCAAGUGGUGACGUGAGCACACAGGGCUGCCCAUUGCCCGCCCCUCUGCUCCCCUCUCUACUUUCCUUCCCUGGUGGGUGGCAUCAUUUCCUUCUGAGGCGCGGUUCGUCCUGUUAUUUCUCUAACUGCUUUUCUUCUCUCUUCCCCCGAAGGCCCGAGGCUGCCUGGGCUCUCACGGUUGGCCAGAUGAAGGGGUCCCGCGGCUGUCCCCAGAUGGGUGCAUCCAGGGAGGUGGCCGGACAGGCACCUGGGCCUCCGUCCCCAGCUUCGCUUGCCCAGGGGCCACGGGAGCCCCGCAGCCACGCUCAGUGGUCUUCGUGGCAGGAAGUGCCAGGCAGUUCCGGUGAACAGGGGACAGGGGACACGUAAAUCACAGGACACGUGUCCAUCCGCUGCUUGUGUCAUCGGUCAGGCUUCCUGGCAGCAGGACACUGCGAGGAGCGAAGUUUUCAGAAGCCAAAAGUUGCUCGCGGGAUCUCUACUGCAGGGUCUGUGCACAAGGGCCGAGGGUCACCUGGAUAAGUGUGCACAUGCGUGAGUGACACACGCACCCUCACUGCCUCACUGCUUGAAAUUAUACUGUCUGUGCACGAUUUUUAUUUUCCUUUUAUUAAAUUAAAAAAAUUUUAAACUGAAUGUACAGUUUCACUCAUUUCAUUUUUUUCACCUUCUAUUAAAUUUUUCUUUCCGAUGCCACGUUUGAUGUGGAACACGAGAAGUACUCAGUGUGUUGGGUGUACCUUCCGUGAUUAUAGCAAAUUUCCCGAAUGUGGCUCAUCCCCGCAGUGUCCAUUUUCCCCGAAAUAAAUGUAUUUGUACGUA